UAACAGAAAAAAGUCUUAGAGAAAAAUUUGACAUACUUCUAGAAAGACAGUAUUACGAUACAGCUGUUCGGUUAAAAUUUACUUUAUUUUCUUCCAGACUCGCAAAAAAUUCUGAUUUACCUCAACAUGAAUUAGUCAAGAUCGUUCAAAAAUGUGGAGAUUAUCUCUAUGACAAAGGAAAUAUGAAAGAUGCUAUUAAUCGUUAUAUAUCCACUAUUGGAACUGUAGAACCAUCGUAUGUGAUUAGAAAGUACUUGGAUGCCAAUAAUGUUGAGAAUUUGUCGGAAUAUCUGUUGGAACUUCACAAGAGAAAGGUUGCUACAUCCGAUCACACUACUCUACUUUUUAAUUGUCAUGCUCGACUAAAAAAUCUUAGUACAAUUCAAGAAUUC